AGAGGAAGGCAGAAGGCCAAGCGUAUGUUGCUCCCCAACAGCACUGUCCCGAGAAGAGAGGUUGACCAAAUAUUUGGCAAGACUAAAUAUUACGGUCUCUGGAAAGAAGUGCUGUGAAAGGGAGGGAGAGAGCUGCAUGGAGACACCUGCUCGCAGGAGACUGGUGGAGAAACGUCCCUGCCACGAGCAUCCAGCCUUCGAGGUGUGCGGGGAAGUGUGUAAUUGACGGGCAGCCCGACCGAGGCCCUCCUGCGGGACCAAAUUGUAAUCGGCUGCGGCGCUUGGUCACAACAGGGAUUCCUUUUACAUCCUAGUGCGGCCACGAACCUGGCAAGCAGGUCCCCGCGGUUAUUAAGAAGCCUCCUGACUUCAGCAGGUCGCCUUGGGUCAGUGCAGCGGCAUACAUUCUGGCUGCUGGGCUCGGAGUUGGCGAAGACAGCCUUGUAGACACAAAUCCCUUUACACUUGGACAUGGAGAAAAGAAUCAAGAUGGAUGGCCCCAGCCCCCCCAGCCUGCUGCACACCUGCCUGCCCCCGCUCCCACUGCCUCGCCUCAUCCCUCUUGGCUGGUUCCUUGACAAGUUCAUUGCUGUGUUCACCAGAAAGCGAUCAGCGGAGUCUUGCUUCUGGAGAAGUUAAAUGCAGGCCGACAAUUCCUCAGGGGUUCACGGGAUGAAAGGCUGCAAAAGAGGGUUUGGAAGCGCUUCACAGAGGGACCCACGUCUACACAUACGUCAAGAGAACUGUUGUUUGGGGAAAACAAGUUGUAUUGGAGGCUUUGGGAAUUGCAGAGAGGUUUCACAAGAACUCAGAGGAGCAAAUAAGAAAUAAAAGACACAGCCAACGUUUAUUGAGUGCGUGCUAUGCGGUGGGCUUCGUGUUGAGCCUUUUCAAGUCACUUUUUCAUUGUAUUCUCCGCACCUUAGCGCACUGUCUCCUGUCGUUAACCCGCAGAGGUCAGGUGAUCCUCCUGAGGUCGCCGAAUGAGUAGCAGAGCCAAGACUCAAACUCAGGCCUGCCAGGACCCGGAAGGCCGUGACUUUCAUCUGUGUGCAUGUCCUAGGGGACGGGAGAGAGGAAAGGAGCACAGGCACACACGUCCACGGGGCAGCAGCAAUAGCGACACAGGACGACAGAGCCGGGAGCUCCGGACUCCCAUCCAAACCCCGUCACCAGCAACCUGGGACCCUGCAAAUGCCUCUUUGCUGCUCUGGGCCUCAGUCUUCUCUCCAGUGAGAUGGCAGUUUCGAAGGAGAAGCCCCCUCGGGCCCAAGUUUGUAAUGCUCUCCUCUUCCUAGUCCACAGGUGAGAAGACUUCGGCUCGGGAACAGGGCCACUGGAAGUCGUGGCCAAUCUGGCCCAACCCGUCACAGGGACCUUGAAGCCCCUCUGCAACGUGUCCAGGGACUCCAGGCCCUGCUAGCAAGAUGGAAAUGGACGAGGCCCAAGGCGGCUUGCGCAUACUUACCGAGUGAAAGUAGUAUCUUGAGCGUGACUUCCCUGAGUCUUUGCCACGGGCCCCCGCUAGCAGCGGCCCAAGCUCCUCUUCGGUGCUGAAUUUCCCUCACCGGGGCCGCCAGUGAGCCUUCCGACGGCCAGACACGUGACUCUCUCUGUCCGGGGGGACGUGAGGGGUGGAAUCCGGGAAGACUUGACUCAAUUUGAUGGAAAGCAACUUCCUUCUAGCAGUAGGAAGUUAGAGGAAGAGCAGAGCAGGGUAAAACAGACAGCAAGCAGUACAGGGGCCGGUAGGCCUGCUCUGAGCAUUGCUGAUACUUACCGGCUGUGUGUGGCUCCAGACAAAACCCCUUAUGUCCACACAUCUUGGUUUUCCUCUCUGGGUAAAGAGAUGCAGACAUUCGGCCCGCUGAGAUCAAAGCGCCAGACGGGAAGGGGGUGUGUGUGC